UCCAUCACAAGAUCUUUAAUCAACACUCCUCUACCAAAUUUCUUCUUGUAAUUGUUAUACAAGUGCCUCAAGCACAACAUGUGUUCCACUCCAUCCAAAGUGUCAUAAAAACCUACCAUUAGUUCCUGCAAAACACAAAAUGUCUUGGUCAAUAUUAAAUAAUGUGACUACUACCAAAUAAAAAUAGGAAAUCAUCAAAAUGAAAUACCUUUUGUUGAUC
rnacentral:lncRNA from 1 species